rnacentral:rRNA from 1 species
UCCCAGUUCGGAUUGUAGUCUGCAACCCGACUACAUGAAGCUGGAAUCGCUAGUAAUCGCGGAUCAGAAUGCCGCGGUGAAUACGUUCCCGGGUCUUGUACACACCGCCCGUCACACCAUGGGAGCCGGGAAUGCCCGAAGUCGGUGACCUAACCGGAAGGGAGGAGCCGCCGAAGGCAGGUCUGGUGACUGGGGUGAAGUCGUAACAAGGUACC